GAAAGUAAAUAAGGGCGCAUGGCGGAUGCUUGGCUCUCGGAGGCGAUGAAGGACGUGAUAAGCUGCGAUAAGCUUCGGGUAGGUGCAAAUGACCUUUGAUCCGAAGAUUUCCGAAUGGGACAACCCGGCAUUCUGAAGGAAUGUCAUCCAACUUUGUUGGAGGCUAACGCAGGGAACUGAAACAUCUUAGUACCUGCAGGAAAAGAAAAUAAAUAAUGAUUCCCCUAGUAGUGGCGAGCGAACGGGGAUUAGCCCAAACCACCCAUGUUACGGCAUGUGUGGGGUUGUAGGACCACGCUCUCGCAAGACAGUUAUUGAGAAGAAACGGCUGGAAAGUCGUGCCAUAGACGGUGAUAGCCCGGUAUUCUAAGGUAACCGAAGCGUAGUGGUAUCCUGAGUAGCGCGGAGCACGAGGAAUUCUGCGUGAAUCAGCCGGGACCAUCCGGUAAGGCUAAAUACUCCCGAGAGACCGAUAGCGAACCAGUACUGUGAAGGAAAGGUGAAAAGCACUUCGAAUAGAAGAGUGAAAUAGUCCCUGAAACCAUGCGCCUACAAGCGGUCGGAGCAGCUUAAGUUGUGACGGCGUGCCUUUUGCAUAAUGAACCUACGAGUUACUUUUUCCGGCAAGGUUAAGCAUCUUGAGAUGUGGAUCCGAAGCGAAAGCGAGUCUGAACAGGGCGGAUAGUCGGAAGGAGUAGACGCGAAACCAAGUGAUCUACCCUUGGGCAGGUUGAAGGUUAGGUAACACUAACUGGAGGACCGAACCGAUAAGCGUUGAAAAGCUUCCGGAUGACCUGAGGGUGGGGGUGAAAGGCUAAUCAAACUUGGAGAUAGCUCGUACUCCCCGAAAUGCAUUUAGGUGCAGCCUUGAGAGUUACUAAUGUGAGGUAGAGCGACUGAUAAGAUGCGAGGGCUUCACCGCCUAUCAAGUCUUGAUAAACUCCGAAUGCGCAUUAGUUCUAUCUCAGGAGUGAGGGCAUGGGUGCUAAGGUCCAUGUCCUAAAGGAGAAGAAUCCAGACCAUCAGCUAAGGUCCCCAAAUAAACACUAAGUUGAACUAACGAAGUCAGAUUGCUAAGACAGCUAGGAUGUUGGCUUGGAAGCAGCCAUUCAUUUAAAGAGUGCGUAACAGCUCACUAGUCGAGGAGUUUGGCGUGGAUAAUAAUCGGGCAUAAGUAUUCUACCGAAGCUUUGGGAUGAGAAAUCAUCGGUAGGGGAGCAUUCCACUCGGCGUCGAAGGUGAGGCGUGAGCCUUGCUGGAGCGUGUGGAAAAGCAAAUGUAGGUAUAAGUAACGAUAAGGCAGGCGAGAAACCUGCCCGCCGAAAGACUAAGGUUUCCUGAUCAACGCUAAUCGGAUCAGGGUAAGUCGGGUCCUAAGGCUCAGCCGAACGGCGAGGCCGAUGGCAGAACCGGUUAAUAUUCCGGUACUACCUGUGGGAGUGACGUGGAGACGGAGUCGUGACAGCGCCGCGGACUGACGGAAUAGUCCGUUGAAGGGUGUAGAUGCUGAUUGUUCCAGGCAAAUCCGGAGCAAGAGUCGAACCUGAUAGUAUGGAGCGUUCUUAGAACAAUCCAAUAGUGCGUGUAAUCAUACUUCCAAGAAAAUCCGCUAAACUUAAUCCUGCAGGUACCCGUACCGCAAACGGACACACGUAGUCGGGUUGAAUAUACUAAGGCGCUUGAGUGAUUCACGGUUAAGGAACUAGGCAAACUGACCCUGUAACUUCGGGAUAAAGGGUCCUCGCUUUACGGCGAGGCGCAGAGAAUAGGUCCAGGCAACUGUUUAACAAAAACACAGGGCUGUGCAAAAUUGAAAGAUGAAGUAUACAGCCUGACACCUGCCCGGUGCUGGAAGGUUAAGAGGAGAUGUCAUCGCAAGAGAAGCAUUGAAUUGAAGCCCCAGUAAACGGCGGCCGUAACUAUAACGGUCCUAAGGUAGCGAAAUUCCUUGUCGGGUAAGUUCCGACCUGCACGAAUGGUGUAAUGAUCUGGACGCUGUCUCAACCGUGAGCU
rnacentral:rRNA from 1 species